GGUUAAGCGACUAAGCGUACACGGUGGAUGCCCUGGCAGUCAGAGGCGAUGAAGGACGUGCUAAUCUGCGAAAAGCGCCGGCGAGGUGAUAUGAACCUUUGACCCGGCGAUGUCCGAAUGGGGAAACCCAGUGUGUUCCGACACACUAUCGUUAACUGAAUACAUAGGUUAACGAGGCGAACCGGGGGAACUGAAACAUCUAAGUACCCCGAGGAAAAGAAAUCAACCGAGAUUCCCCCAGUAGCGGCGAGCGAACGGGGAGCAGCCCAGAGUCUGAAUCAGCUUGUGUGUUAGUGGAAGCGUCUGGAAAGUCGCAGGGUACAGGGUGAUACUCCCGUACACGAAAACACACUUGCUGUGAACUCGAAGAGUAGGGCGGGACACGUGGUAUCCUGUCUGAAUAUGGGGGGACCAUCCUCCAAGGCUAAAUACUCCUGACUGACCGAUAGUGAACCAGUACCGUGAGGGAAAGGCGAAAAGAACCCCGGCGAGGGGAGUGAAAAAGAACCUGAAACCGUGUACGUACAAGCAGUGGGAGCCUACUUGUUAGGUGACUGCGUACCUUUUGUAUAAUGGGUCAGCGACUUAUAUUCUGUAGCAAGGUUAACCGUAUAGGGGAGCCGAAGGGAAACCGAGUCUUAACUGGGCGUUAAGUUGCAGGGUAUAGACCCGAAACCCGGUGAUCUAGCCAUGGGCAGGUUGAAGGUUGGGUAACACUAACUGGAGGACCGAACCGACUAAUGUUGAAAAAUUAGCGGAUGACUUGUGGCUGGGGGUGAAAGGCCAAUCAAACCGGGAGAUAGCUGGUUCUCCCCGAAAGCUAUUUAGGUAGCGCCUCGUGAACUCAUCUUCGGGGGUAGAGCACUGUUUCGGCUAGGGGGCCAUCCCGGCUUACCAACCCGAUGCAAACUACGAAUACCGAAGAAUGUUAUCACGGGAGACACACGGCGGGUGCUAACGUCCGUCGUGAAGAGGGAAACAACCCAGACCGCCAGCUAAGGUCCCAAAGUCAUGGUUAAGUGGGAAACGAUGUGGGAAGGCACAGACAGCCAGGAUGUUGGCUUAGAAGCAGCCAUCAUUUAAAGAAAGCGUAAUAGCUCACUGGUCGAGUCGGCCUGCGCGGAAGAUGUAACGGGGCUAAACCAUGCACCGAAGCUGCGGCAGCGACGGUAUNNNNNNNNNNNNNNNNNNNNNNNNNNNNNNNNNNNNNNNNNNNNNNNNNNNNNNNNNNNNNNNNNNNNNNNNNNNNNNNNNNNNNNNNNNNNNUAUUAACGCUGAGGUGUGAUGACGAGGCACUACGGUGCUGAAGUAACAAAUGCCCUGCUUCCAGGAAAAGCCUCUAAGCAUCAGGUAACACGAAAUCGUACCCCAAACCGACACAGGUGGUCAGGUAGAGAAUACCAAGGCGCUUGAGAGAACUCGGGUGAAGGAACUAGGCAAAAUGGUGCCGUAACUUCGGGAGAAGGCACGCUGAUAUGUAGGUGAAGCCCCUGCGGGUGGAGCUGAAAUCAGUCGAAGAUACCAGCUGGCUGCAACUGUUUAUUAAAAACACAGCACUGUGCAAACACGAAAGUGGACGUAUACGGUGUGACGCCUGCCCGGUGCCGGAAGGUUAAUUGAUGGGGUUAGCGGCAACGCGAAGCUCUUGAUCGAAGCCCCGGUAAACGGCGGCCGUAACUAUAACGGUCCUAAGGUAGCGAAAUUCCUUGUCGGGUAAGUUCCGACCUGCACGAAUGGCGUAAUGAUGGCCAGGCUGUCUCCACCCGAGACUCAGUGAAAUUGAACUCGCUGUGAAGAUGCAGUGUACCCGCGGCAAGACGGAAAGACCCCGUGAACCUUUACUAUAGCUUGACACUGAACACUGGUCCUUGAUGUGUAGGAUAGGUGGGAGGCUUUGAAGCGUGGACGCCAGUCUGCGUGGAGCCAUCCUUGAAAUACCACCCUUUAAUGGCUGGUGUUCUAACGUAGACCCGUUACCCGGGUUGCGGACAGUGUCUGGUGGGUAGUUUGACUGGGGCGGUCUCCUCCCAAAGAGUAACGGAGGAGCACGAAGGUUAGCUAAUCCUGGUCGGACAUCAGGAGGUUAGUGCAAUGGCAUAAGCUAGCUUGACUGCGAGAGUGACGGCUCGAGCAGGUGCGAAAGCAGGUCAUAGUGAUCCGGUGGUUCUGAAUGGAAGGGCCAUCGCUCAACGGAUAAAAGGUACUCCGGGGAUAACAGGCUGAUACCGCCCAAGAGUUCAUAUCGACGGCGGUGUUUGGCACCUCGAUGUCGGCUCAUCACAUCCUGGGGCUGAAGUAGGUCCCAAGGGUAUGGCUGUUCGCCAUUUAAAGUGGUACGCGAGCUGGGUUUAGAACGUCGUGAGACAGUUCGGUCCCUAUCUGCCGUGGGCGCUGGAGAAUUGAGGGGGGCUGCUCCUAGUACGAGAGGACCGGAGUGGACGCAUCACUGGUGUUCGGGUUGUCAUGCCAAUGGCAUUGCCCGGUAGCUAAAUGCGGAAGAGAUAAGUGCUGAAAGCAUCUAAGCACGAAACUUGCCCCGAGAUGAGUUCUCCCUGACUCCUUGAGAGUCCUGAAGGAACGUUGAAGACUACGACGUUGAUAGGUCGGGUGUGUAAGCGCAGCGAUGCGUUGAGCUAACCGAUACUAAUGAACCGUGAGGCUUAACCUU
rnacentral:rRNA from 1 species